rnacentral:rRNA from 1 species
GAGCGGACAGAUGGGAGCUUGCUCCCUGAUGUUAGCGGCGGACGGGUGAGUAACACGUGGGUAACCUGCCUGUAAGACUGGGAUAACUCCGGGAAACCGGGGCUAAUACCGGAUGGUUGUUUGAACCGCAUGGUUCAAACAUAAAAGGUGGCUUCGGCUACCACUUACAGAUGGACCCGCGGCGCAUUAGCUAGUUGGUGAGGUAACGGCUCACCAAGGCAACGAUGCGUAGCCGACCUGAGAGGGUGAUCGGCCACACUGGGACUGAGACACGGCCCAGACUCCUACGGGAGGCAGCAGUAGGGAAUCUUCCGCAAUGGACGAAAGUCUGACGGAGCAACGCCGCGUGAGUGAUGAAGGUUUUCGGAUCGUAAAGCUCUGUUGUUAGGGAAGAACAAGUACCGUUCGAAUAGGGCGGUACCUUGACGGUACCUAACCAGAAAGCCACGGCUAACUACGUGCCAGCAGCCGCGGUAAUACGUAGGUGGCAAGCGUUGUCCGGAAUUAUUGGGCGUAAAGGGCUCGCAGGCGGUUUCUUAAGUCUGAUGUGAAAGCCCCCGGCUCAACCGGGGAGGGUCAUUGGAAACUGGGGAACUUGAGUGCAGAAGAGGAGAGUGGAAUUCCACGUGUAGCGGUGAAAUGCGUACAGAUGUGGAGGAACACCAGUGGCGAAGGCGACUCUCUGGUCUGUAACUGACGCUGAGGAGCGA